UAGUUUUGCAACUAAAACGACAGUUUCUAUUGGACAAAUUCAGCUAGGUCUCUACACGUUACGUUCCUUUGAAGAAACGUUUCUCAACAGAAUAGUUGUAAUAAAUACACACCAGGCCUCCUCCAGACUCGCAUUUUGGCGAAUCCAGUGCUCUUUCUCCAGUCCUUAUUCAAGAGCACGAUAUUUCUGAGUUGUCCGCUGGCGCCGAAGAGUCAUUUAUGAAUUUAACCGGCCAGCUUGUGACACAUUUGGUUUCCCUAACUUUAUGAAGCAGUAUCUAACAUUAUUCAUGUACCAGGCAUUUCAGAUUUGAAUAGCAAUCCGGAUUAGUAGGAUAAUCUAUGAAUGACAAUAUGGAUUCUGAUGAAGUUCAACAAACAGAUGGCAGCACAUUAGAAGAAUCAACAAGUAGUCCUAAUCAAAGGAUGACAAGAUAUCAGAUCCUCACAUUGACGUCAAUCGCAUCUGUCAACUUCAGCUCAAUGAUUUGUUACUCUAUACUGGGACCAUUCUUCCCCAAAGAGGCUGUGAAAAAAGGAGCCAGUCAGACUGUCAUUGGCCUUAUAUUUGGCUGCUAUGCUCUGUGUAAUCUGAUGGGCUCCUUAGUACUGGGUAAAUAUAUUGUUCAGAUCGGGGCAAAGUUCAUGCUAAUUUCAGGCUUAUUUGUGUCAUCAGUGUGCACCAUUCUCUUUGGCUUACUCGACAAAGUUCCUGACGGAGCUACUUUUAUUAUCCUGUGCUUUAUCAUAAGGUCUGUUGACGCUGUUGGCUUCAGUGCUGCAAUGACCUCUUCUUUCGCCGUUUCAACAAAAGUUUUCCCAAACAGUAUAGCAACUGUUCUGGGUAGUCUGGAGAUCUUUACAGGGCUGGGUCUUAUACUGGGACCACCAAUAGGUGGAUGGCUGUAUCAGUCUUUUGGAUACGAAGUUCCUUUCAUGGCUCUGGGAUGCUUCCUAUUUCUCAUGGUCCCCUUCAACAUGUACAUCUUACCAAGCUUUGAUGCUGAUCCUAGCAAGGACUCCUUCUUCAGGCUGUUCACGCGUCUGAAGAUAGUCCUCAUAUGCUUUUCCAUAUUCACCCUGAGUUCUGGACUCGGCUUUCUAGAUGCGGCCUUGUCCAUAUAUGCCAUUGAUACGUUUAACCUGUCUCCAGGCUAUGUGGGUCUUCUCUUGCUUGGUCUGUCGUUGCCUUACUGUCUAGCCUCACCUCUGCUUGGUAUCGUCAGUGACAGGUUUCCUUCCACGAGGCCGUGGUUCAUGGUGCUAGGAGGCUUGUUUACAGCAACUGGCUUCUGGUUCUUAGGUCCUGUCCCCAUUCUGCAGAUAAAGAGUCAGCUGUGGCUGGUGGUUUUCAUGCUGGGUAUCAUAGGAUUCUCUCUUAGCAUGACUGCAAUCCCUACCUUCCCUGAAAUACUCGACUGUGCAUAUGAAAAUGGAUUUGAGGAGGGGCUGAGCACUCUGGGACUGGUGUCUGGAUUGUUUGGAGCAGUGUGGUCCUUUGGGAUGUUUUGUGGUCCAACGCUCGGUGGCUUCAUCACUCAACAGCUGAGCUUUGAGUGGGCUGCUUCUGUUCAAGGAGGCCUGGCCUUUCUAGCCGUAUGCAUUAUAAUAAUACAUGUAUUUUAUAUAGUGCUUUUCAUUACAACAAGAAUCUCAGACACUUUAAAAAAACAGAUAAAGCAGACAUUUGGUUCUGGCAGUUCUUGGACCAUGGUCUCCCACAGCUUCAGAUGAAUAGGUGAGGCAGUUCAGAAGGGCAGAUUGGACAUUUAUGAAUCCCAUUGGGCACACUUCAAUACUGUCAGUCCUGCCUCGACACUCCUGACUGCGGUCUCCUGACCCCUAGAAAUGGGGAACUCAAAUGUCUUUGCUAAAUUGCUCACGUGGACAUCAACACAUUAUUUCUGCUAGUCAGUAAGAUUGCGGUCACAUGGAUAAAAAAAUAAUGAAUUUUAUUUUUCAAUGUGCUGUCUGACUAUGACUGUUUCCUCUUCUCCUCAGGCUUUUUUUCUUGGUGUAUAUUUUCUCUGUCAAAGAACACGACAAGAAAGGUCUCUUCCAAUCCAGACGAAAAGACCUUCUGAUGAAGCUACCCAUCUUCUGACCUGAACAACGAUCAUCUACCAGGAACAAUUUAUAUUUUCUGCUAUGAGAAACUGGUCAGAUUAAGAUCCUACACCUGUAUAUGUACAUCGGUGCUAAAUGUGGAAUGUAACUUGUAUUAAAAUAUACAACUAAGAGGAUGAUGCUACACAAGUUAUCAUUUGUUGUCAUAGCAUUAGCAAUCAUAACAGAAGCAGUUCAGUUUGCAUUAUGCCAAUACCAUAUAAGACCUGUGUAUAUAAUUACUUGCACUGUCAAGGACCUCAACAAGCCGUGGUAAAGCUUUGGAACUAUUUGAAUUAGUUUGUUAAAAAGCUAUUUUAAAACACCAUGUACUUCGGAACAGGAAUGUUUCACAAAAGAAUGUUUACUUGACGAUAAUCAAAUGGCAUUUAUACAUAUCAGUUGGCCAUGUUAAAUAUGCACCCAUUGAAAUCCAGUCCUAUGUAAAUGUCCCUCAUUCUCCAAUCUUCACAGCACCUGACAUGGGUUAUGUCUGAAUAGUUAACCUCCUUUAUGGCUAUGUAGAUUGACCAAUUACCAUAUCAGUGACGGCAAUAAAAAAAAGAUUUUCAAAUGGACCAAUCAA